rnacentral:rRNA from 1 species
AUUGAACGCUGGCGGCAGGCUUAACACAUGCAAGUCGAACGCCCCGCAAGGGGAGUGGCAGACGGGUGUGUAACGCGUGGGAACCUACCUUACGGUCGGGAAUAGCUCAGGGAAACUUGGGGUAAUACCGGAUACGCCCUUACGGGGAAAGAUUUAUCGCCGUUAGAUGGGCCCGCGUCGGAUUAGCUAGUUGGUGAGGUAAUGGCUCACCAAGGCGACGAUCCGUAGCCGGUCUGAGAGGAUGAUCAGCCACACUGGGACUGAGACACGGCCCAAACUCCUACGGGAGGCAGCAGUGGGGAAUCUUGCGCAAUGGGCGAAAGCCUGACGCAGCCAUGCCGCGUGAAUGAUGAAGGUCUUAGGAUUGUAAAAUUCUUUCACCGGGGACGAUAAUGACGGUACCCGGAGAAGAAGCCCCGGCUAACUUCGUGCCAGCCGCCGCUGUAA